rnacentral:tRNA from 1 species
CGCGGGCGUGGCCGCCGCGGCCCGCCGUCCGAGGGCGGCCGCGGCCCUGUUCGCGGUGGCUCUGGUCGCGUCCCUGGCCCGCGUC